rnacentral:misc_RNA from 1 species
GGAUAAUGAUUCUGUGAAGCAACUGAUGCAAGAAGAUGAAGAGCAGACAACUUCUAGUGAGAAUUCUGAAGACGAAACUGUUAAGUUGGAAGAAAUUCAGCCUGAUGGCGUUUCCCUGGAAGGUGGUAGUGAUCCCUCAGAAGAUGCAAAAGAUUUAGAUAUGAAGCUUUUUAUUGGUGGAGUUGUACAUAAUGACGAGGACACUGCUAAUAAGGAUGAGUAUGUGCGUUUACCGGCCGAUAUUAAUGAUAUGGAGAGAGAUUCUUUUGUAUUACAUAUUCCUGAGAAAAGUCUAGAUUAUGACAGUAGAGAAAGUAAAGCAUCCAGGAUAAAAGUGGCAG